ACUCAAAGGAAUUGACGGGGGCCCGCACAAGCAGCGGAGCGUGUGGUUUAAUUCGACGCACCACGAAGAACCUUACCUAGAUUUGACAUGGACCUGCAUGGCCGUGAAAGCGGUCAGCCUUCGAGGGUGGUCCACUGGUGCUGCAUGGCUGUCGUCAGCUCGUGUCGUGAGAUGUUGGGUUAAGUCCCGCAACGAGCGCAACCCUUGCCCUGUGUUACCUGUGUCACAGGGGACUGCCGUGGUCUAACCACGGAGGAAGGCGGGGAUGAUGUCAAGUCCGCAUGGCCCGUACGUCUAGGGCGACACACACGCUACAAUGGCCGGAGGAAUGCGCGGCGACCUGGCAACAGGCAGCGAAUCGCCAAGACCGGUCUCAGUGCAGAUUGGGGGCUGCAACUCGCCCCCAUGAAGGCGGAGUUGCUAGUAACCGCGUGUCAGCAAAGCGCGGUGAAUACGUACCCGGGCCUUGUACACACCGCCCGU
rnacentral:rRNA from 1 species